AUGCUGAAACAGGUAUAAAAUUGACUGAUCCUAUAGCAGUGUAACGGGAAUUCAUCAGAGUUUUCACUCAUUAAUGGGAGACAGUGCUGGAGAACUACCAUGUGUAAACACAACAAUCAAAAAGAGGUAACAUGUCUAACUCUACCACAGCAGAAACAGAUAAUACAGGAUGUCACCAAAAAGGAGAUCAUAGAAGCAAUUAGAGAGCUACCCAAAGACAAAGCACCUGGAGUUGAUGGAUUCCCUGUGGAAUUCUUCACUGAGAAUUGGGAACUAAUCAUGGAUGACAUCUUUGCUGCUACAAAUGAUUUUUUCACCACUGCCAGAAUGCCUCAAUUUAUCAACACAACAGCCAUCACACUGAUAUCCAAUAAGGAUUACAGGCCAAUAGCAUGUUGCACAAUAAUGUAUAAGAUCAUCUCCAAAGUCCUAACCAACAGAAUGAAGAAGGUCAUGGGUGACAUAAUUGGACAGGCUCAGUCUGCUUUUAUAGAAGGUUGAAGCAUAAUAGAUAAUAUACUCCUUAGCCAAGAAAUAUUCAAAGGAUACUCUCGAAAAGGUGU
rnacentral:lncRNA from 1 species